rnacentral:rRNA from 1 species
GACGAACGCUGGCGGCGUGCCUUAUACAUGCAAGUCGUACGCUUCUUUUUCCACCGGAGCUUGCUCCACCGGAAAAAGAGGAGUGGCGAACGGGUGAGUAACACGUGGGUAACCUGCCCAUCAGAAGGGGAUAACACUUGGAAACAGGUGCUAAUACCGUAUAACAAUCGAAACCGCAUGGUUUUGAUUUGAAAGGCGCUUUCGGGUGUCGCUGAUGGAUGGACCCGCGGUGCAUUAGCUAGUUGGGGAGGUAACGGCUCACCAAGGCCACGAUGCAUAGCCGACCUGAGAGGGUGGUCGGCCACAUUGGGACUGAGACACGGCCCAAACUCCUACGGGAGGCAGCAGUAGGGAAUCUUCGGCAAUGGACGAAAGUCUGACCGAGCAACGCCGCGUGAGUGAAGAAGGUUUUCGGAUCGUAAAACUCUGUUGUUAGAGAAGAACAAGGAUGAGAGUAACUGUUCAUCCCUUGACGGUAUCUAACCAGAAAGCCACGGCUAACUACGUGCCAGCAGCCGCCGUAA